rnacentral:rRNA from 1 species
UUCUUUUAGAAAUAAUUAAAAGUAAUUUCUGCUCAAUGAUUUAUUAAAUAGCCGCAGUUAUCUGUGCUAAGGUAGCAUAAUAAAUUGUCUAUUAAUUGUAGACUAGAAUGAAGGAAAAUAUAAUUAAUAACUUUAUUUUUUAUAAUACUUUAAUUUAAAAAUCAUAUAAAAAUGUUUGAAUAAAUUAUAGGGACAAGAAGACCCUAUAAAGCUUUAUAUAUAUAUUAUAUUUUUCAUAAAAUUUUAUAAAAAUAUAUAUUUAAUUGGGGCAAUUUUCUAUUAUUAAAGAAAUAUAGAAUAAAUUUAAAAAUUAAUAAAUAAAUUUAAUAGAUCCAUAAAUUAUGAUUACUUGAAUAAGUUACUUUAGGGAUAACAGGAUAAUUUAAUUUGAAGAAGUACUUAUUUAUAAAUUAGAUUAUUACCUCGAUGUGAUUCAUAUUUUAUUAUGGGUAGGAGCUAUGUAUUAUUUAACUGUUCGUUAAUUAAAAAAUUACA